AGCCUUGUAGUUAAACAUAAUGUCAAAUUGCAAAUUUGAAGUUGGGUAUGUCCCUAAGGCUU
rnacentral:tRNA from 1 species